UUUGAACAUCAAUGUUGCAUCAUCAUCAUCAUCCAAUAUCAUCAAAACCCUACCCGGCUUUCGCGGUGACCUCCCCUUUAAGCUUGAAACUGGGUACGUGGGAGUGGGCAGCAUGGAUGAUGUGCAGCUGUUUUAUUACUUCUUGGAGUCUGAAGGGAGUCCAGAGUAUGAUCCUCUUGUGCUUUGGCUCACUGGAGGUCCUGGUUGUUCUGCCUUCUCUGGCCUUGUAUAUGAAAAUUUAGGUACCUGAUUAUAUUUUCCACUCUCUGCAUCUUCUAGAGGAUAUUAUUCUAUUUUGAAUUUUUAUGA